GCCCGGGUGGUGGAAUUGGUAGACACUAGGGACUUAAAAUCCCUUGGCGCUGAGCGCCGUACGAGUUCGAGUCUCGUCCCGGGCA
rnacentral:tRNA from 1 species